rnacentral:lncRNA from 1 species
GACUGGAUUGUACUGGACAGGGACUGGAUGGCCAUGUGGUAGUACUGGAUGAUAUAGUGGAGGCACCGAAUUGUACUGUGGUGGUGCCAGGUGAUACGAUGGAGGCACUAGACCAUACUAUGGUGGUGUCAGAUGGUACUGUGGAGGAGCAGGGUUAUACCGGGGUGGCUCAGGAUCCUCCCGCUGCAGGAGUGGCUCAAACUGUUGUAACGGGGGAGGGUCAGGUAGCUCCCUCCUUUCCUCUCGGUCCUGUUGGGCAACAAUGAGUCUCUCU